rnacentral:lncRNA from 1 species
UUUAAAAAUUCCGAGUUCACAUGUAUUUUGACAUGUAAAUAAGACAUUGGUAAUGUACAUAUACGAGAUUAAAAAGGCAUUUGAAAUUAUUUUUGUACUUGGUCUUUUUUCUCUAGUAUUCUAUCAGAAUGCAGAUAAUAUACCUAGAUUUCUGAGAGGGUUAUUAAUUGUGGUAUUAAUAAUCAUUGUGGCUCAACAACAGGAUCAAAUACACAUUAUUAAGGAUGAACUAGCUAAAGUUAGUGCUCUAUGUGAAAACAAUACGGAGGAGUUGAAAAAUGUUAUAUCAAAAAUGAAGACCACGUUGCAAAAUUGAUGUAAACUUGUUAAUGUCUUAAUAGUUUGUAUGUGGUCCACCAAUUGGAACCGAAAUUAAAAAAUUCCAAUCACCAGUUCACAUGUAUUUUGACAUGUAAAUAAGACAAUGGAAAUGUACCUAUUCCUGAUUAAAAUGGCAUUUCAAUUUAUUUUUGGACUUGGUGUUUUUUCUCUAGUAUCCUAUCAAGAUGGGGAAAAUAUACCUAAGUUUCUGAAAGAAUUUUUAAUUGUGGUAUUAAUAAUCAUUGUGGCUCUUCAGCAGGAUCAAAUACACAUUAUUAAGGAAGAACUAACUAAAGUUAGUGCUCUAUGUGAAAACAAUAUGGAGGAGUUGAAAAAUGUCAUAUAAAAAAUGAAGACCACAUUGCAAAAUUGAUGUAAACAUCACCACGGAUUAGACAAAACUGUAAAGGGAAAUGUGCAAGGUUCAUUUCGCAUUUUACAUUAUUUCUACAGAUGCAUUUUGACUUUGUGGAUCAAAGAUUUUUGUAAUAAUAAUUAUGGCAUUAACAAUCUUAUUCAAAUCGCAUCAACCUGAGUUUUUAUCGAGGAUUUCUCCAUUUAUAUGUAGACUCAGGAAUAAUCAAGAUGUCUUAAUAGUUUGUAUGCGGUCCACCAAUUGGAACCGAAAAUUUAAAAAUUCCAAUCACCAGUUCACAUGUAUUUUGACAUGUAAAUAAGACAUUGGUAAUGUACAUAUAUCUUAUUUAAAUCGCAUCCACCUGAGUUUCUAUCGAGGAUUUCUCCAUUAUAUAGACUCAGGAAUAAUCAAGAUGUCAAAAAUGAAUGGAUUUAAAUUUAAUUCACGAUUCAUAUAGUAUAUAUGUACAACAAUGGAAAUAUGAAACUACAUUAGUCAAAAAUGAGGACCACGUUACAAAAUUGACAUAAACUUCACGAAGGAUUAGACGAAACUGUAUAGGGAGAUGUGCAAGGUUCAUUUCACAUUAUACAUUUUUUACCCAACUGCAUUUUUACUCCCAUCAUCAAAGAUUUAGUAUGGCAUGAACAUUCUUAUUCAAAUCGUAUAAACUUGAAUUUCGAUCAAGGAUUUGUCCAUUAUGUAGACUCCACAGAAAUAAUCAUGAUGUCAAAAAUGAAUGGAUUUAAUUCACAAUUCAUAAAGUUGCAUUCAACAAUGGAAAUAUGAGACUAGUCAUUAGUCUAGAUUUUAGAUCAGUGUCAUGUAUAGUCAUUAUUAGCAUUCAAUUUUUAAAUUAGUUUUUGUACUGCUUAAAAAUAUUGUUAAACUUUUUUCUAAUUCAUAUUGGAAUUAUAUAUAUAAGGCUAUUCAUGUAACAUUCUGUGGAAAUUUUCAAUAUUAUGAGGGCAUUUUCUAAAAUUACAAUGCAAACUAUGAAAUAUGUUAAAAGAAUUUGAACUGUAUUUUAAUUGUGCAGUGUAAAAUUUAAAAACAAAGUAUAUAAAAACAAGGGAGGUAAGCUUCACUAAUGGAGCCAAUCUCCCAUACAGACAGAGUUAUCGUCCUUUCCUCGAGGAAAGGACGAUAACUCUGUCUGUAUGGGAGAUUGUAAUGGAGCAAUGCAAAUCAUAAGUUCAUCAAAAGUCUACACACCUGAAAUAUUUGCAAUAUGUUCUUUCAAUAUUCAUGAUUAUAAUGGUUUCUUAAUUUUCCAUAAAUGUAAGGGUUGCAGAGGCAGAUUAAGGGUUGGGGGAUCUGACCCCCCUCCCUUAUGGAGCUUCAAAUACAAUGCAAACAUUGAGUCUUGCCAAGGGAGCCUCUCUUUUCUCAAGAAUCCUGGAUACUCCCUUAGGGUUCAGUUUAGGCUUAAAGUGAGGACUGAAGAUUUUGAGGAUUUGUUUUACGUUAAGAGGGAUGUUUGAGAAAUUGUGUUAGGCACAAGUUAGGGUUACUUUAAUAAGGCUCAUAUGGUAUGGGACCACUUAAGUAAAAGAACGCUUAUUUAUCAUAAGUGAUAGUGUGACCAGAAAAUGUAAAUGUGGAAGUAUUUUUCAGGGUAUUCAAGGCUUAGCUGUUCAAUUUGAAAGUAGUCAGGAAUUCACCAGUUAAAUCGUCAUGAAUUCAGGAUUUAGUUAAAUCAUAAUGUGAGAAUGGACACAUUAUUUUCACAGAAAUUUUGAAUUCCACAAUGAAUAAAUAAAAUAUCAUUGUAAAUCCUUGCCUAUGAAAUAAGUUUAAUGCAAAGUUGAAUCAUCUUGUGUUACCAAACAAAUAAUUCAUAACACCAACAAGACUUAAGUUUCCAGAGAUUUAUAUUUAAAAAAAAAACAAAUAUUUAAAAUCUACACAAUUCAAAAUGUCAGUCUCAAAAGCUUUAUACGAAGCACUGAUUGAUUGAUGUCUGCUUAACUUCAAGUGACAAAUUUUACAUGUAAAUUCAAAAGACAGUCUUAUAUGUUUUAUGGGCAUGAAUUUUAGCUACUUGCAAACACUAGUACAAGAUAUUGUUAUGUAAUAAUCUAAUUUUCUUUAACUAAUAACAGGGAUACUCUGGCUAACACUGUAAUCCGAGUAAAUUGUUAAAACAGCAGAUAUGUAAUAAAAGAUAUUUACUUUUAAAAAAUAAUCUAAUUUUCACUAGUGAUUUAUUUUUGCAACUUUCGUACGUAGAAAAGUAUGGGAUAUAUAGAUCGUUGCGAACAUGUAAAACUUGGAUUUUUCCUCACUUAAUUACAUCAAGGAAAUUUGAGAAUCGCCAAAUUAAAUUACUGUGCAAUAGGUCAGAAUGCGAAAUAAAAUAUUUGCGAAAUUAAGUUGUUUUUCAGUAAUCGACAUGAUUGAUUGAUUGUUUGGUGUUUAACACGACUUUUAAAACUAUUAUACUAUUGCAUGGCGUCUAGUUUUAUUUUGGGGAGGAAGUCUGAUUUUACAGAGAAAACCACAACCUUCUUCAGAAAAACCAAAAAUCCUAGCAAAUUAAGACUCAUAUGAAUAAAACUGAAAAUGGAAAUGGAGUAUGUACGUGUCAAAGAGACAACAUUAACUGACCAAAGAGCCUAUAACAGCCAAAGGCCACCAAUGGGUCUUCAAUGCAGCGAGAAAUUCCUGUAGCCAGAGGCGUGCUUCAGCUGGUCACAAAAUAAAAAUGUAUACUAGUACAGUGAUAACGGAAACCAAACUAAACUCUGAAAUAUAUAAAAGAAACUAAAUUAAAAAUAAUACUUAACGGAGAAGCAGCAAAAACAAUUUGAGAAUCAAGUGCAUGUUCUUUUACGUUCCAGUUUGUCAAGCAAAACCUACAAGUUUUUUGUCCAGAAAAAAAAACGGGAAAUAAAAAUAUGGUGUAUGAAUUCAUGACACUUUAAUCCCCAUACAAACUAUGUUCUUAUACGUUCCAGUUUGUCAAGCAAAACCUACAAGUUUUUUGUCCAGAGAAAAAAAAAAACGGGAAAUAAAAAUAUGGUGUAUGAAUUCAUGACACUUUAAUCCCCAUACAAACUAAAAAAAACCAAAAAACAAACAAUCAGUCCUGGUGUUCAUCAUUAAAAUGUUAUGGACACCUUCAACAUGGAGAAAAGCUGUAUGACACAUUUACAAGUUCAAGAUGUUCACUACAACAAUUUUGAUUGGAUAUAACCUACAUCUAUGCAUUAAAGAACACUGUUGCCAGGUAAUAUCAACAAAUGACAGGCGAAAGACCGUUUUUAAACUCAUGUUAAUUAACU